CUGGCGGCGUGCCUAACACAUGCAAGUCGAGCGAGGAGAUCCUCGGGAUGAUCCUAGCGGCGGACGGGUGAGUAACACGUGGGCAACCUGCCUCAUAGAGAGGAAUAGCCUUCCGAAAGGGAGAUUAAUACCUCAUAACAUUGCAGUUCCGCAUGAAACAGCAAUUAAAGGAGCAAUCCGCUAUGAGAUGGGCCCGCGGCGCAUUAGCUAGUUGGUGAGGUAACGGCUCACCAAGGCGACGAUGCGUAGCCGACCUGAGAGGGUGAUCGGCCACAUUGGGACUGAGACACGGCCCAGACUCCUACGGGAGGCAGCAGUGGGGAAUAUUGCACAAUGGGGGAAACCCUGAUGCAAGCAACGCCGCGUGAGUGAUGACGGCCUUCGGGUUGUAAAGCUCUGUCUUCAGGGACGAUAAUGACGGUACCUGAGGAGGAAGCCACGGCUAACUACGUGCCAGCAGCCGC
rnacentral:rRNA from 1 species